UGUAGGGGUAAGGUAGGCAGAGGUACAGUUGGUGCCUGUCAGGGGUGAGUGGCGGUUGUUUGACUGAGCAUAGUUGGGGUAAUGCUGUAAUCAGACAUGUGGUGAAGUCUGCCUUGGCUGAUGAUGGGCGGUCAUUUUGCUGAAUCAAUCAAUAAAUCAAGAUACAGCAAGUCA